UAAGGAAUAUUGGUCAAUGGUCGCAAGUCUGAACCAGCCAUGCCGCGUGAAGGAUGAAGGUCCUCUGGAUUGUAAACUUCUUUUAUCUGGGACGAAAACGGGAUUUUUAUCUCAAUUGACGGUACCAGAGGAAUAAGCACCGGCUAACUCCGUGCCAGCAGCCGCGGUGAUACGGAGGGUGCGAGCGUUAUCCGGAUUUACUGGGUUUAAAGGGUGCGUAGGUGGGCUUAUAAGUCAGUGGUGAAAUCUCCGAGCUUAACUUGGAAACUGCCGUUGAUACUAUAGGUCUUGAAUUAUCUGGAGGUAAGCGGAAUAUGUCAUGUAGCGGUGAAAUGCUUAGAUAUGACAUAGAACACCAAUUGCGAAGGCAGCUUACUACAUAUAAAUUGACGCUGAGGCACGAAAGCGUGGGGAUCAAACA
rnacentral:rRNA from 1 species